UACGGGGGGUGCGAGCGUUGUCCGGAAUCACUGGGCGUAAAGGGCGCGUAGGUGGUCUGGUAAGUCUGUGGUGAAAGCCCGGGGCUCAACCCCGGGUCUGCCAUGGAGACUGCGAGACUUGAGGACUGUAGAGGCUGGUAGAAUGCCGGGUGUAGCGGUGGAAUGCGUAGAGAUCCGGCAGAAGACCGGUGGCGAAGGCGGCCAGCUGGGCAGUUACUGACACUGAGGCGCGACAGCGUGGGGAGCAAACAGG
rnacentral:rRNA from 1 species